rnacentral:lncRNA from 1 species
UUUGCCCCAAAUUCCCUUUCCUUAAGCUAAAAAUCCCCAUUUUUGGUCUUAAAAAUCCCCAUAUUUGACCCAAAAUCCCCAUUUCUGAACCCUCAAAAUCCCCAUUUUUGCCCCAAAUUCCCGGUUUCCAUGACUAAAAAUCGCCAUUUUUGCCCCAAAUCCCCAUUUUUCACUCCUCAAAAUCCCCAUUUUUGCCCCAAAUUCCCAUUUUUCCUUCUCAAAAAUCCCCAUUUUGACCCAAAUUCCCAUUUUCUAAACCUCAAAAUUCCCAUUUUUGUCCCCAAAUCCCCAUUUUUCAUUUUCAAAAAUCCCCAUUUUUCAUUUUCAAAAAUCCCCAUUUUUUACCCAAAAUCUCCAUUUCUCAACCCUAAAAACCCCCAUUUUUGACCCAAAUCCUCUCAAAAUCGCCGUUUUUGCCCAAAUUUCCCCAUUUUUCGCUCUCAAAAAUCUCAUUUUUGCCCAAAAUAGGCAUUUUUUCAUCCUCAAAAUCCCCGAUUUUACCCCAAAAUCCCCAAAUUUUGCUCUCAAAAAUCCCCAUUUUUACCCCAAAUCCCCAUUUUUUCUCCUCAAAAAUCUCAUUUUUUGCCCCGAUUUUGGGUCAAAUUCCGGCGAUUUUGGGUCUUAAAUCCACGUGGAAAAAAAAAAAAUGGGGAUUUUGAGGAGUUGGGAAACGGAGAUUUGGGGCAAAAACGGCGGUUUUGGGGGAGGAAAAAAUGGGGAUUUUGGGUCAAAAUGGAGAUUUUUGAGUUGAGAAAAAAGAAUUUGGGGCAAAAAUGGGGAUUUCUGAGAGUUAAGAAAUGGGAAUUUGGAUCAAAAUGGGGAUUUUGGGUCAAAAAUGGGGAUUUCGAGGGUUAAGAAAUGGGGAUUUGGGGCAAAAAUGGCGAUUUUUGAGUUGAGAAAUGGGAAUUUGGGGCAAAAAUGGGGAUUUGGGGUUAAAAUGGGGAUUUGGGGUCAAAAUGGGGAUUUUUAAGAACAGAAAUGGGGAUUUUGAGGAUUCCGAAAACAGAAUUUGGGUCAAAAUGGGGAUUUUUGAGAGUAAAAAUGGAGAUUUGGGGGAAAAUGGGGAUUUUCAGAAUGAAAAAUGGGGAUUUUGUGGGAAAAUGGGGGGUUUUGAGAAAUAAAAAUGUGCAUUUUGGGGGAAAAUGGUGGUUUUUUAUAAUGGAAAAAUGGGGAUUUGGGGCGAAAAUGGGGAUUUUGAGAAUGAAAAAAUGGAGAUUUGGGGUAAAAAUUGCGAGUUUUGGGAAAUAAAAAUGGAGAUUUGGGAGAAAAAUGGGGAUUUUUGAGAGUAAAAA